CGAGGAGAGGUGAUUUUAGACACUGACCUGGAAGCAGCACCCGUGCCAGGGGAAUGAGCAAGAGCCUGUUUCAGAGGCAGGGGUGUGCAAUGGCACAGCAGAAGCUGGGAUGACAGCAGUUCCACGAGUAACAUUCCUGGCUUUGAAAAAAAUGUUCCGCUGAAACAGCUGUGGAUGCUCAUUCCAAUACCUGUUUUUGUACUCUGAUGCUGUGCAGAGUCAAAGAGCAGCACUUCUGUAGGAUAUCUGAGGGUUUCUUUUCUCACCUGCUGGUAUCAACUAUCUGAGCUAAAAAGUAGAGCUGUGCUGUUAUUUGGGAGCAAACCAGGCUGUUUGAGAGGCAAAAGCAGUGCUUGUGUUUUGCAAACUUUGGCAAGAAAUAUAACAUUUCCAUACCAAGACACAUCAGGUGAGUAAAGUGAAUAAAACCCCCAGUUGUGUUUGGUGAUGGAAGUGUGUAAUUUUCACAAUCGAGAUCUAUGAUAUUUAGAAAUCUGUAACUUUUCAGAGAGAAGGUUGGAAAGCACCCAUUUGAGUUUCGUGUGCAUUAUUAUAUGCUCUUUCCUGUCCAUAACCUGAAUUGUUGCUGCACAUAUAAUUAACAGAGUGAAAGUCCUAUUCUACAAAUAAUUGGGAUGGAUAUGUUAAAUAGGAGAAGAGCCUUGUUUCAGCUAGCAUGCUUCUUUUUUUUCUCUGUGCAGAAUUAGUUUGGAACUUUAAUUGCCUAUUCAUGCAUGAAAAAGUAUGGAAUCAUUGAUGUACAAAAAGGAAGUAAGACAGUCCUUGCCUAUUGCACAAAUAUGUCUGGACUGCCUCUUGAUGAAGUUUCCUAGAAAUCCUUUAUGUUCCUAGGGUUUUAUAUUGGUUCCUAUUGCUGCAGCUUUCUAACUGUGCUAUCAUAAAUAAAUAGUUUUUAAUAUAUCUUGGAAAAUCCUCCUGAAAAUUCUCCUUGUGACUGUAAUUAUUGGACAGAACUUGCAGCUUGCUUUGAUCACAGACUACACAGAAACCUUUGUUCCACUGCAGGCAAUGAAAUGUGGAUUAAGUCAUGGCUCUGGUGGCUUUAAUACUUGACAUUUGUUGAGUGGAAGUAAAAGAAACUCCCAGUUGGGUGAAAAUCCAGGGGACAUCCUGAGCUAUAAGAACUGUGUGGAUAAAGAACUCCAGGAGUCUUUUAUGGACAAUGUUUUAUGUUUUUUUUCUAGUUUAAGAAGGGUUUUGUAUUUUACUUAUAAACUGGAAUUUAAAUCAUAUCUUAUGCACAUGUGAAAUAAUGUGGGUUUUAAAGAAAAUAGAGUUCUAUCUCAUAUUAACUGUCUGAUGCCACAUAAACAAAGCAAUUCAGUGUUGGUCAUGGCUUGCAUUAAUGCCUGUAACCCCAGCUCUUUUGUGAACCGCUGACAGGGAAGCUCCCUUUCCUGCCUUUGGAAUCCAAAAGGGAAUCAGCAAAACAAUAGGGAGCACAUCAGGGAAUGAAGCCUUGGCAAAACCAGCCUGUUUUCCUAGCAAUGCCCCAGACACAAUCCUACUAUCAUUCUGCACGUCCUCCUGCAAAAGUUAGAGGAAAAGAGAAUGGGCUGUUUAUCAAAGCCUCUCCUAUUUGCUUUGCCCUUCAGAAACUGAUAAUUAAGGCACUGCUAACCCGGGGGCUGUUUAGUGCCCUGGACCACCCAAGUGGUGAGUGUGGGAGGCAUUUUGUUAAGGAAGAUACACAAAUGUACCCAUCUCACAAUCUUAAAGCAGCUUUACAGGUAAGAGAGGCCUUGGAAAGAGAUACACUUGCUAAUGACUCUCAGCAAAUAAAAACCUCUAGCGGUCUCA